rnacentral:rRNA from 1 species
UACGUAGGGUGCAAGCGUUUGUCCGGAAUUAUUGGGCGUAAAGAGCUCGUAGGCGGUUUGUUGCGUCGGCUGUGAAAUCCCGAGGCUCAACCUCGGGUCUGCAGUCGAUACGAGCAAAACUAGAGUGUUGCAGGGGAGACUGGAAUUCCUGGUGUAGCGGUGAAAUGCGCAGAUAUCAGGAGGAACACCGAUGGCGAAGGCAGCUCGCUGGGACGGUGCUGACGCUGGAGACGCGAAAAGCGUGGGGGAGCAAACAGGG